rnacentral:rRNA from 1 species
AUUGAACGCUGGCGGAAUGCUUUACACAUGCAAGUCGAACGGCAGCACGGACUUCGGUCUGGUGGCGAGUGGCGAACGGGUGAGUAACAUAUCGGAACGUAUCCAAUAAUGGGGGAUAACGAGUCGAAAGAUUCGCUAAUACCGCAUACGCCCUACGGGGGAAAGCUGGGGACCUUCGGGCCUGGCGUUAAUGGAGCGGCCGAUAUCUGAUUAGGUAGUUGGUGGGGUAAAGGCCCACCAAGCCAACGAUCUGUAGCUGGUCUGAGAGGACGACCAGCCACACUGGAACUGAGACACGGUCCAGACUCCUACGGGAGGCAGCAGUGGGGAAUUUUGGACAAUGGGCGAAAGCCUGAUCCAGCCAUUCCGCGUGCAGGAUGAAGGCCCUCGGGUUGUAAACUGCUUUUGUACGGAACGAAAUGGUUUCUACUAAUACUAGGAGCUCAUGACGGUACUGUAAGAAUAAGCACCGGCUAACUACGUGCCAGCAGCCGCCGUAA